GAAAUACAAAUUUAGUGUCAGUUUCAGUGAUUUAAUUCUUAGAAACGAGUCUGUUAAAGUCCGCGCUGUGUAUCUGCUUAAAGAUAAAGUUCCUGCUACAUGUGUUAUUGAGUCAGAACUUAUUAAAAGACACAAGAAUCUGACGACGGUAAUCUCGUCAACGGCUAAACUGUUAUCUGGAAAGUGAGAAAUGAAUAAAAAGACGUUGGUGAUGCGGCGCCCUGCUAACAUGCUAAACUCCUGAAGUUCGAUGGAAAAUGGUCACAUGUCAAGGAGUGCUGCUGAGGUUGAAAGAGUCUCAGUGUCCGACAGAGAAGACCCGGGACUAUGCUGUAAAGGAGAAAAUUGCCUGGAUCUGGGAAACGUAAAUAACUAGUGAAUCAGAUGGGCCAUGCUGAUCCAUCUUAAGGCAGUCUGAGCUACUAAAAUAAUGAAAUUAAAAAGAGAGAAGAUCUGUCUGCGUCAGUGCAUUUUUCAGCAAUAAAUAUUUUUUGCACCAUAACAAUUAAUGGUGGCCAAACAGAUUUUCCCCAUGAAGGAGGUCCAGAAAGUGUACUUCACCAGCAAAUUCAACAAUGUGGACAAGCUAGGAAAACAAGAGGUGUAAUUCAUGUCACAAUUCACACACCCCCACACACACUCAAAGACAUAGGACACAUCCAAGCACCCAAUACUGCCAUAAUUAAAUGCAUAGGGAAUUAUUAUGAAUUAGAUUUUUUCAUUAUAUAUGUAUAGAGUUUAUAUAUACAUUUAUACCACAAUACAUUAUUCAGUUAUAUAAUUGUAUAUAUUACUGUAUAAUACAAUUAUAUUAUUGUAUAAUU